GUUCACUUUGGCAGCACAUGUACUAAAAUUGGAACGAUAUAGAGAAAAAGAGCAUGGCCCCUGUGCAAGGGUGACAAGUAAACAAACAAAUAAAAAUAAAUAAAA